CAGCAUCCGGUAGCAGACGAGUAAAAGUAGUCGCGUGGUUGGUUUCUUGUUUUAGAUUGGCUUUUUGUUUCAACACAUACCACAUUCUGGAAAUGGUUAAUACCA